CCCUGCCUCCUGCCCGUUGACAGCUGAGAUAGGCUCAAGCACUCCCCGUGACCCUUGUGAGGAUAAGCGGCAAAAGAAAAUGGAUGAAUGGAUAUUCAAGAGUCAAGAUUCUUGACUGUUAAUGUUGAAGAGAUGAUCCAACAAAAUGAAAGCUUGCCAGCCGGGCUCCCGACACAACGCGGGGCCUAAGGGCAACACUGCGGCCAACCUGGCCGGGCAGACAGCGAGUGAGGACAACUGGCACGCUGAAAGCAAGCAGGUGUAUGAUUCAGAGGAGAAAGUCCAGUUUUGUUCUCCCGCUGAAGGACUUAAUCCCAGUGAAAACACCAAACAGCGAGAGCCAGCUAACAAGAGGCCCCCCGCACGGCAACGUGAAGAACAACAUUUCCUCAACUCAAAUCAUAAACUCAAUGACAACUGCAAUUUGGUGGCCGGGUGUGAUGGUCUGAGCGCUCCCGGUGCUGAAAAGUCUUCUUGUGAUUAACGCACAUGCGCAUUAAGUCAUAUUUUGUAAACUUCCGACCAGUCUGAAACAUCCCAUAUCCAACCUUCAACGUGUGCCAUUCGACAACUUGAGUUCAUGUUCGCUAUUGUCAUGUGUGCAAAAUGUUUCGAGGAGUACCUAUAUAAGGAUGAGAAAAACCGACUCGGAGGCUUCUUCUUACGACCUCACCGCUGCUCUGGGAAACUACGCUGCUUGGAAGACUAACUACACGGACGCCUGCUGCCUUUUGUUUUUUCGGACCGGCCGGAACUUUCGCUAACUAGGAAAACCCGCUGGGACGAACGUUUGCUUGUCUGGGAACACUCGUUCAACAUUGGUGACGAUACGCCGUUGUGGCUCAACUACUCUGUUCUUGAACGCCUAUUUUGUGUUAGCUAUUUUAGCGUGUUUGUGUUGUGUUGAUGUGUGUGAGAUUAAAUUGUCAGAAACGCAAUACAACUGCCUUGUCGCAUUUUGAACAAAGGGGACGUCCGUCUAAAUUCACACGUAACACUUAUGGACGUCUCAGAAAGAUGAA